UAUACAUACACACUUAAGUGUUAAUUUUAUACUUUAAUAAGAUAACUGAAGAGGCAUAUUCUUUUCAAGUUUAUGUCUUUGUGUGUUUUACGGAGGAUAAGAUAAUUUUCAGCCACAAGUAAAUCACUUCUUUCAAGGAGAAGGUGCAGCCGAAGUACAACCACAACCACAACCACAUUUUAUGGACACUAUGCAGCUGAACUUGAAUUUGAUAAUCCAGGUUAUCCAGUUGAUGGGAAUGUUGACAUGGAUUUUGAGUUGUUUCGGGGGAUGGUAAUCGGAGAAGGCUCUAACAGUGAGAUGGAAGAAUCGAGGAAUCUUUACCAAAUGGUUGGUGGAGAUAGUAACUAUAAUGAAAAUUCGGAUGACGAGUAGUGUACCGGCUAUCCUCCAACUUGAAUCUUACAUUUGGGACAAUGUAAGAUCUUAAGUGUGGGAGAGGUAACAUCUUUUUGUACUCCUUCUCUGGUUUAAAGUAUAUUUUGAAGUCGCUAGAUGCUAGUUUCUUUUUGUUUGUUUGGUGUUGGUCGAUGCUUGGGAAAAAAAAUAUGGACUAUAUAGAGAAGGAUUAAAGGGAAUUUUGUUUUGUUUUUGUCCUGACUAUUUCAUAGAAAGCCUAUAAGCAGUCCAUAAGCUAGUUGCAAAUAAUCGAAUAGUGCAUAUGUUAAUGUACUAAUGCAUGUUUUGCUAAUAUAAUGAUGCAUAUUAUUAUUACUUCUUA